AGGAUGAACGCUGGCGGCGUGCUUAACACAUGCAAGUCGAACGGAGGGUGGAUUUCGGUUUACCUUCAGUGGCGCACGGGUGAGUAACACGUAGCUGACCUGCCCUCGAGAGUGGGAUAACGGGUCGAAAGACCUGCUAAUACCGCAUAAGCUCACAGACUUUAGAGGUCUGAGAGAAAAGGCGAAAGCCGCUUGAGGAGGGGCGUGCGGACCAGUCAGCUAGUUGGUGGGGUAAUGGCCUACCAAGGCGACGAC
rnacentral:rRNA from 1 species